rnacentral:rRNA from 1 species
GGACUACCCGGGUAUCUAAUCCCAUUCGCGACCCACGCUUUCGUGUUUCAGUGUCAGGAGUGGCCCAGUUUCUUGCCUUCGCUUUUGGUGUUCCCCAUAAUAUCAACGCAUUUCACCGCUACACUAUGAGUUCCAGAAACCUCUACCAUCCUCAAGUUGUGCCGUUUCCCACGCAGGUUCCCGGUUGAGCCGGGAGAUUUAACGCGAGACUAACACAACCACCUACACACCCUUUACGCCCAAUAAUUCCGGAUAACGCUCGAGGCACUCGUAUUACCGCGGCUGCUGGCAC